rnacentral:rRNA from 1 species
AGGACGAACGCUGGCGGCGUGCUCAACACAUGCAAGUCGAGCGGUAAGGCCUCUUCGGGGGUACACGAGCGGCGAACGGGUGAGUAACACGUGGGUGACCUGCCCUCAGCUCUGGGAUAAGCCUGGGAAACUGGGUCUAAUACUGGAUAUGACUGCGCAUCGCAUGGUGUGUGGUGGAAAGUUUUUUCGGCUGGGGAUGGGCCCGCGGCCUAUCAGCUUGUUGGUGGGGUGAUGGCCUACCGAAGGCGACGACGGGUA